GUCAACUAGGUGUUGGGUGGGCAAACCAUUUAGUACCGUAGCUAACGCGUGAAGUUGACCGCCUGGGGAGUACGGCCGCAAGGUUAAAACUCAAAGGAAUUGACGGGGACCCGCACAAGCGGUGGAUGAUGUGGAUUAAUUCGAUGCAACGCGAAAAACCUUACCUACCCUUGACAUGUCCAGAAGCCCGGAGAGAUUUGGGUGUGCCCGAAAGGGAACUGGAACACAGGUGCUGCAUGGCUGUCGUCAGCUCGUGUCGUGAGAUGUUGGGUUAAGUCCCGCAACGAGCGCAACCCU
rnacentral:rRNA from 1 species